rnacentral:rRNA from 1 species
ACGAACGCUGGCGGCGUGCCUAAUACAUGCAAGUAGAACGCUGAAGGAGGAGCUUGCUUCUCUGGAUGAGUUGCGAACGGGUGAGUAACGCGUAGGUAACCUGCCUGGUAGCGGGGGAUAACUAUUGGAAACGAUAGCUAAUACCGCAUAAUAGCAGUUGUUGCAUGACAACUGUUUGAAAGGUGCAAUUGCACCACUACCAGAUGGACCUGCGUUGUAUUAGCUAGUUGGUGGGGUAACGGCUCACCAAGGCGACGAUACAUAGCCGACCUGAGAGGGUGAUCGGCCACACUGGGACUGAGACACGGCCCAGACUCCUACGGGAGGCAGCAGUAGGGAAUCUUCGGCAAUGGACGGAAGUCUGACCGAGCAACGCCGCGUGAGGGAAGAAGGGUUUCGGAUCGGAAAGCUCUGUUGUAAGAGAAGAACGAGUGUGAGAGUGGAAAGUUCACACUGUGACGGUAUCUUACCAGAAAGGGACGGCUAACUACGUG